rnacentral:lncRNA from 1 species
GAGAUGAGGUCUCACUGGGUUGCCCAGGCUGGAGCAUGGUGGCUGUUCAUAGGCGUGAUCCUAGUGCACUACAGCUUAAAACUCCCAGGCUCAGAUGAUCCGUCUGCUUCAGUCUCUCAUGUAGCUGGGACUAUAGGCAUGUGCCACCACACCUAACUCUGGCCUCAUAUUUCAUUGAGAAAACAGAUGCAGGCAGAACCUAGGCAGGGAACCUCCAUCAGCCUCAGUCAUCACAUCCAUCUGCCUACCUGUAUGUGCGCCUGGUUCUUGUUAUGCACAAAUUGUCCCUGCUGCUGUUGAAGCUUGGACCCUAGAUCCCAUCUCCCUUCAGUUACUCAGCCUUCACUCCAGCAGUUCCUUUCUCUCUCUUGCUUCAUCAGAUUUUCCAUCUCAUAUGGCCUUUUUUUUUUUAACAGCCUAUAUAAUGCCAUUACUUUUCCCAUCAUGGGAAUGAACAAAAGGAACUCUCUUGAUCUAAUUCCCCCUGCCAGCUUCUCCCCCACAUCUCUGCACCAAAACCUUUGCAGCAGAACUUCCGGAAUGAGUUGCCUGUCCUCUCCAUCCCCUUCUGCCCUUGCACUCUUUGCUGAAUCAACUGCAGUCAGGCGAGGGUUCCCGUGGUUGCUCUGUGGUUGCUCUGAGUCACUGUCUGGUCUGACCCAUCAGCCUCAUUAGACAUGGCUUUCACCCACUUCUCCUGGAAACACGUUUUUCUUUUGGCUUCCAGAACAGCACAUUCUCCUGGUUUUCAUGCAUUCUCUGUAUCUGUUCCUUCUUCACUCUUUGCCUGGUUCCUUUUCAUUUCCCUGACUUCUAAAUGUUAGGAUUCAAGGGCUCAAUAUUUAACCUCUUGUCCUUUCCAUCCAGCUUUAUUCUCUUACUGUUGUCAUCCAGUGUCCUGGCUUUAAUUACCCUCAUUUGAUGAUUCCUAAGCUUUUAUCUCCAACGUGGACCUGCUCCUUGAACCUCAGAUUGACACAUCCAGCGCUUUACCUGACAUCUCUGCUUGGAUGUCUAACAGGCAUGUCACAGCUAGCAUGCCCCAAAUCAAGCUUUGCUGUUGCCUCACAUUUUAUCUUCUCCCAGGUUUCCAUCUCAAUAAAUGACAAUUCAUGUUUUCUAGACCUGGAUUGGCAAACUCUUUCUGUUAAGGGCCAGAUAGUAAAUAUUUUUGGCUUUGGAGGCUGUGAGGUUAGAACUGUUUAUCUCUGCUUCUGUAGCACAAAAGCAGCCAUAGAACAUAUGUAAAUGAGCAAGUGUAACUGUGUUCCAGUAAAACUUCACUUACAAAAACAGGCAGUAGCCCAGAUUUGGCCUGUGGACUAGAGCUUGCUUGGCCCUGCUCUAGACCUGUCAGAAAACUAGAAGCAGACCAGAUUCUCACCACCUGUUUCUUCUCAUCACCUCCACCGCUAUUACCCAGGUCCAAGGCACCAGCAUCUCUUGCCUGGAUUUCUGGAACAGCCUCCUAACUGGUCAUCUCAUGCCCACCCUUGCUUCACUUGAGUCUGUUCUCAGUGUAGAGCCAGAGGGGCCCCACUAAAGCAUAAGUGCAACACUGUGUAACAGCCCAUAUGCUGUUAUCACAAACUAACAGAAAGGCUUGGGCAUUCCCUAAACGGUUAGUUCUUGCCCGGGUACCUCUAUGCUAAGUAGUCCUGAUUAUGUUUCUCACAUAGUCAUCAUUAUUCAUAAUCACAAACAGUUGGAUAUUAUUAGCCAUACUUUGGUGGGUUGAAUAAACAGAUUUUCAUGAUUUCCUAAAUAAGUGAAAAAACAAACAGAAAAUCUCUCUUAAGACAGGUUACAUCUAUUCUCUGUUCAGGCCAGGUGCAGUGGCUCAUGCCUGUAAUCAUAAUACUUUGGGAAGCCAAGGUGGGAGGAUCCCUUGAGCUCCUGACCUCAUGAUCCUCCCGCCUCAGCCUCCCAAAGUGUUGGGAUUACAGGUGUGAGCUGCCACACCCAGCCUAGUCCCAGCUUCUUGCAGUGCCAUCUGCUUCUGUAGUUUCCUAGGGCUGCUGUAACAACCUAUCAAAAACUUUUGAAGGCUUACAGCAGCAGUAUUAUUUUCUCACAGUUCUAGAGGCUAGAAGUCCAAAGCCAAGGUGUUGGUAGGGCGAUGCCUCCCAAUAAGGGGAGAAUCCUUUCUUCUGCCUUCCGAUAGUUGCUGGCAGUCCUUGGCAUUUCUUGGCUUGUGGCAACAUAACUCCAGUCUUCACGUCCGUCUUCACAUGGCCAUCUUCGUUCUGUGUGUGUCUGUGUCCAAAUUUCCCUCUUAUGACAGCCACUGGAUUAGGGACCACCGUAAUUGAGUAUGAGCUUAUUUUAACUUGCUUACGUCUGCUAAGACCCUCCUUGCAAACAGGAGUAUUAUUUCUUUGUUUUUGAUCUGCAUCUCCUCUUCCCUUUGAAUGUAAGGUUAGGCAGGAGCCUUGCCAGUGUUGCUCAUCCCCUUACCCCCAGCACCGUGCUUAGCACAUGGCAAGCAGUCUGGAAAUGCCAAGUGUUAUGUGGCUAAAUGAAUGAAAGAAAUAUUUCUUGUUGGAAAUGUUAGAAGCGAAGUAAGAUUUGAGUUCUUUUGAAAAACAGCUGGCUGACAUUGUUCCUCUCACCACAACCAGCUGGAUUGUCUGUUUUUCCUGAUGUGCUGAGUGCUGAGCAGAAUUUUA